GUCAGGAUGGCCGAGUGGUCUAAGGCGCCAGACUCAAGGAUUAAAGUCCCUUCCCUAACACGGGUGUUCUGGUCUCCGAAUGGAGGCGUGGGUUCAAAUCCCACUUCUGACA
rnacentral:tRNA from 1 species